GGAAUGAAUGCGCUAUUUGAUUUUCAUCUGGACACUCAGGUCCGUACUCAAAGUGAUUGGAGAGAAGAUAGGAUGCAUGCAAUGAGACCGGGUGCCUUCUACUCCUGCUUCAACGCCUUUCCUAUUGUGAUAGACUUCACCUCCUGGAACUAAAGGCCAAGCAAGUGUGGGGAGAAUGAAGGAAGAUUGCCUCAAGAAGAAAGCUGAGCAUUAUCUUUCCACAGAAGUGAAGUGAAUCUUGACAGCUAUGCAACUCUGUAUCCUAAUUCACAUGUGAAAAUCAAUCAUUCCCUCCAAGAAGGGUUACAUUCUGGAGGGAGUUCCUGACUACCUUGCUGAUUACAGGUCAUAGACUAUAAAACACCCCAGGACAAAACCUCUCUAUUUACUGCUCUUCCCACGUGUGUGACCCUGUGUCAUCCAGCACAUGCUCUAUUUCAAUUAACUUUUCACAGUCUCGUUCUUCCCAUUUUUCUUUUGCUAUUCAAGCACUGGUCCUUUCUCAUCUCGGUAGCUUGUGGAACACUCAAGACCCCAUUAAAGUCAAU